UAUUUGGAAGGUGACUUCUAAGCUGCACUAAACAGAAAACAUUCAGAAGGGUCACUUCUAGACAGAGCACAGAGGUUUGAGGACAGCCGUUGAGGACUCGACUUCAGAGUGAUCUGCUCCAUCAGUGAACGAGAAACGUAAAAUAGCAGCAAUUUUGUGUGUGUUGGAAUCAUGACGAAGCCAAGACUUGAGCCACAGAAACCGUAGGCUGAGAUGGAGGAUUUGUCCAUCGUUCUGUGAGAGGAGAUUUUCAGCAUCAGAGGAAAUGGAGGAAAAGUGUAUAGAAGAUCUCUGUCCCAUGGGAAAAGAAGAGCGUCUCCUAAGGAGUGUUUUCUGAGACCGGCCUUGGAGCAAUAGAGUGGGAAUUUCCUGUUCAGCUAAGUGGCAAUCAAGUCUAUUGUUGGGGUUCCCUAGUGAUAAAAUAUGCAGUGGAGUACUGUUGGGUUCAUUUCCCACUUGUGGUCAUGUGAGAACUUGCAG